CUCCAGACUCCUACGGGAGGCAGCAGUGGGGAAUAUUGCACAAUGGGGGAAACCCUGAUGCAGCGACGCCGCGUGAGCGAUGAAGUAUUUCGGUAUGUAAAGCUCUAUCAGCAGGGAAGAAGAUGACGGUACCUGACUAAGAAGCCCCGGCUAACUACGUGCCAGCAGCCGCGGUAAUACGUAGGGGGCAAGCGUUAUCCGGAUUUACUGGGUGUAAAGGGAGCGUAGACGGCGAUGCAAGCCAGAUGUGAAAGCCCGGGGCUCAACCCCGGGACUGCAUUUGGAACUGUGUGGCUGGAGUGUCGGAGAGGCAGGCGGAAUUCCUAGUGUAGCGGUGAAAUGCGUAGAUAUUAGGAGGAACACCAGUGGCGAAGGCGGCCUGCUGGACGAUGACUGACGUUGAGGCUCGAAAGCGUGGGGAGCAAACAGGAUUAGAUACCCGCGUA
rnacentral:rRNA from 1 species